GCUGAGGUAGCCUAGCCCGGAAAGGCGCCAGCCUUGAAAGCUGGUGGCGGUCUCGCCUCGGGAGUUCAAAUCUCCCCCUCAGCG
rnacentral:tRNA from 1 species